rnacentral:rRNA from 1 species
AGAACGAACGUUGGCGGCGUGGAUUAGGCAUGCAAGUCGAACGCGAAAGUCGGGCUUCGGUCCGACCGGUAGAGUGGCGAACGGGUGAGUAACGCGUGGGCAAUCUACCCUUGAGUGGGGAAUAACCAUUCUAACGAGUGGCUAAUUCCGCAUGUGUCGGUCUUGUCGCAUGGCGAGACCGGCAAAGGUGGGGACCCUUAGGGGCCUGCCGCUCGAGGAGGAGCCCGCGUCCCAUUAGCUUGUUGGCGGGGUAACGGCCCACCAAGGCGACGAUGGGUAGCCGAUCUGAGAGGAUGACCGGCCACACUGGGACUGAGAUACGGCCCAGACUCCUACGGGAGGCAGCAGUCGAGAGGCUUCGGCAAUGGGGGAAACCCUGACCGAGCGACGCCGCGUGCGGGAUGAAGGCUUUCGGGUUGUAAACCGCUGUCAGGAGGGAAGAAUCCCUUCGUGUUAACACCACGAGGGUUGACGGUACCUCCAAAGGAAGCUCCGGCUAACUCCGUGCCAGCAGCCGCGGUAAUACGGAGGGAGCGAACGUUGUUCGGAUUCACUGGGCGUAAAGGGCGUGUAGGCGGCUUGGUAAGUCAGGGGUGAAAUCCCGCGGCUCAACCGCGGAGUUGCCUUUGAAACUGCCGAGCUUGAGGCCGUGAGAGGAGACUGGAAUUCCCAGUGUAGCGGUGAAAUGCAUAGAUAUUGGGAAGAACACCAGUGGCGAAGGCGAGUCUCUGGCACGGAUCUGACGCUGAGGCGCGAAAGCUAGGGGAGCAAACGGGAUUAGAUACCCCGGUAGUCCUAGCCGUAAACGAUGGACACUAAGUGUCGGGAGAUCGACCCUUUCGGCGCUGAAGCUAACGCGUUAAGUGUCCC